GUGGCUGUAGCUCAGUGGUUAAGCACUUGUCUAGCAUAUGUGAGGUACUGAGUUCAAUCCUCAGCACCACA
rfam:Ictidomys tridecemlineatus contig062308, whole genome shotgun sequence.